rnacentral:lncRNA from 1 species
UUCAAUAGAUAAUUUUAAUAACUAAUACAAGAGGAUUUAAAUUUUUUAUUUUUGGUGUUUUAUUCAGCUUAUAAAAAGAAAUAAUGUAAAUUAGGUUUGGAUUAUGUGAUUGGUGGGGUAUUAUUUUUUCUUUUUUAAAGAAAAAAAGAUAGGCUGUCCAAGAAGCAUCCUAGUUGGCAAUGUUGUCUUUACCUUCAAUGUCCACACGUUGGAGAAGUUGACAGACUUAUGAUACACAAUUAUCGAUAUUGC